rnacentral:lncRNA from 1 species
UGCAGGGCAACGCGCCCCACGCGUGUGACGUGCGAGAGACGCGAUGGACGCGCCUUGCUCUUACUGUGCAGGUCCCGAGAGCGCGGGGGCCACUCGCGCCCGGUCGUGUUGAGGACAUAGAAUCAGCCGCUGGAGGGGCCGCGGGCCGCGCGGGCCCUUCCCGCUCUCGGUCUCACCUUAAGGGCUAAGGCGACCGAGAAAGCCCAGUGCUCCAGAACUAAGGGCCUCUGGGUCCAAGUCAAAGAUGAUGGCCCCCUCAUGUUGCUAGUGGGAUGGCACUCUGGCAUGAUGCUCUUUGAAGGAGAUGGUACAGGAGAGAAGCCCACAGGACCAGGUGAACUCAUUCUCAGUUGGAUUUCCCUGUAGGGAAAGACAGAAAGGACAAUGGAAUCUACUUUAUGUGAGAUUUCCCACUUUUUGGCUUACUUAUUAAUUUAAAAAAGGGGGGAAGGUUUUCAAGGCUAGAACCAUAAUUGACUGAAUCAAAGAACACCCCCCCCAAAAAAGGGAAGUAGAAGAAAAAAGAAAACAAGGGAAGUGUGAUUAAGAGGGUGGGAAAUCCACUUAUCGACAAAGAAAAUGGGUAUAUGCUUUUUGUCUCUGGUUCAAGUGAAUUCCACUGAGUUUCCUUUUUAUUUGUUUUUUGGAGAGUGAGG